UAAAGCUAAAGACCUUCUAAGCCGUCACACGCAUACCGAAGGCACGAGGCCCCGACACGAAAGUAGCUUUACUAUUACCCCGACGCCACGAAAGCUAAGAAACAAACUGGGAUUAGAUACCCCACUAUGCUUAGCCUUAAACCCAGAUGUUGAGCCCACAAACAACAUCCGCCAGGGUACUACGAGCGCUAGCUUAAAACCCAAAGGACUUGACGGUGUCUCAGACCCACCUAGAGGAGCCUGUUCUAGAACCGAUAAUCCCCGUUCAACCUCACCACCCCUUGCUUUUCCCGCCUAUAUACCGCCGUCGCAAGCUUACCCUGUGAAGGACCUACAGUAAGCAAAAUGAGUACAACCCAAAACGUCAGGUCGAGGUGUAGCUCACGAGGUGGAAAGAAAUGGGCUACAUUUUCUUCAACAGAAUACUACGGACAACACUAUGAAACCAGUGUUUUAAGGUGGAUUUAGUAGUAAAAAACAAAUAGAGUGUGUUUUUGAACCAGGCUCUGAGACGCGCACACACCGCCCGUCACUC
rnacentral:rRNA from 1 species